GAGAGUUAAACAGUACGUGAAAUUGUUGAAAGGGAAACGAUUGAAGCCAGUCGUACCUUCGGGUAAUCAGCCUUUCGGGUGCGAUUAUGUGGAGUGUGAGGAGCUUAAACACCUUCAUGUUUUGCAUAUUCGUACUCUUGGGUGUACUUGCCCGUGUGGUUGGUUAACAUCAAUUUUGGUGGUCAUAAAAUGACUGGAGGAAUGUAGCUUCGAUCUCGUAUUGAAGUGUUAUAGCCUUCGGUAGAUGUGAUGAUCGAGAUUGAGGAUUGCAACGGAUACCCUUCGGGGCUACCUGUCUGGUCUCUGAUCGUUGCUCUGGUGCCGAAAGCUUGCUUACGAUUAUCAAAGUCGAUGGUCAAUAGGUUAGAACGGGUUAAAUUCGUUAAGGAUGUUGACGUAAUGGCUUUAAACGA
rnacentral:rRNA from 1 species